rnacentral:rRNA from 1 species
CCCGCAACGAGCCCAUCCCUUUUCCUUACUUGCCAGCAUUUCGGAUGGGAACUUUAAGGAUACUGCCAGUGACAAACUGGAGGAAGGCGGGGACGACGUCUAGUCAUCAUGGCCCUUACGACCAGGGCUACACACGUGCUACAAUGGUCGGUACAAAGGGUUGCUACCUAGCGAUAGGAUGCUAAUCUCAAAAAGCCGAUCGUAGUCCGGAUUGGAGUCUGCAACUCGACUCCAUGAAGUCGGAAUCGCUUGUAAUCGCGGAUCAUAAUGCCGCGGUGAAUACGUU